GAGUUUGAUCCUGGCUCAGGAUGAACGCUGGCGGCGUGCCUAACACAUGCAAGUCGAACGAAACACCUUAUUUGAUUUUCUUCGGAACUGAAGAUUUGGUGAUUGAGUGGCGGACGGGUGAGUAACGCGUGGGUAACCUACCCUGUACAGGGGGAUAACAGUCAGAAAUGACUGCUAAUACCGCAUAAGACCACAGCACCGCAUGGUGCAGGGGUAAAAACUCCGGUGGUACAGGAUGGACCCGCGUCUGAUUAGCUGGUUGGUGAGGUAACGGCUCACCAAGGCGACGAUCAGUAGCCGGCUUGAGAGAGUGAACGGCCACAUUGGGACUGAGACACGGCCCAAACUCCUACGGGAGGCAGCAGUGGGGAAUAUUGCACAAUGGGGGAAACCCUGAUGCAGCGACGCCGCGUGAGUGAAGAAGUAUCUCGGUAUGUAAAGCUCUAUCAGCAGGGAAGAAAAUGACGGUACCUGACUAAGAAGCCCCGGCUAACUACGUGCCAGCCGCCGCGGUAAUUC
rnacentral:rRNA from 1 species